rnacentral:rRNA from 1 species
GACGAACGCUGGCGGCGUGCCUAAUACAUGCAAGUUGAGCGCUGAAGGUUGGUACUUGUACCGACUGGAUGAGCAGCGAACGGGUGGGUAACGCGUGGGGAAUCUGCCCUUGAGCGGGGGACAACAUUUGGAAACGAAUGCUAAUACCGCAUAAAAACUUUAAACACAAGUUUUAAGUUUGAAAGAUGCAAUUGCAUCACUCAAAGAUGAUCCCGCGUUGUAUUAGCUAGUUGGUGAGGUAAAGGCUCACCAAGGCGAUGAUACAUAGCCGACCUGAGAGGGUGAUCGGCCACAUUGGGACUGAGACACGGCCCAAACUCCUACGGGAGGCAGCAGUAGGGAAUCUUCGGCAAUGGACGAAAGUCUGACCGAGCAACGCCGCGUGAGUGAAGAAGGUUUUCGGAUCGUAAAACUCUGUUGGUAGAGAAGAACGUUGGUGAGAGUGGAAAGCUCAUCAAGUGACGGUAACUACCCAGAAAGGGACGGCUAACUACGUGCCAGCAGCCGCAGUAA